rnacentral:sRNA from 1 species
CCCUAGCCCUGAUAGCAGUGGAAAUCCUUUUUUGUUUUUUCUUUAAAAACAAAAAAGAUUGCAACGGAUAGCAGGAUUAAGC